AUGACCGGUGCAGGUUUUAAUUUUCAAACAGCGCUAUCAGGACCGGACGUGGCCUUGGUGACGCCGGUGAACUCAACCUUGGUGCCGAGCAGGUCGACCCCGACGUCGGCGGUGAAGGUGUCGUACCGGAGGAACAGCUCCACCACCAGGAGCCUGCCGACGAGCACCACCAGGUUCUUGCCGGGGCACUGCUUGUUGUCCACGCUGGGGCUCUCGGUCUCCCGCCCGUUGGACCAGUACACGUACUGCAGCAGCUUCCUCCCCUCCUCCCCGACGAACCGGUCGCCGACGAACUCCCUCGCCGUGGGGCCGAACACGCGGGGGUCCCUGGUGGCGCACGGCUGGUACCCGAACAGCAUCUCCCCCUUCUUCACGGCGAACACCGCGUCGUGGCUCUCGAUGUUCAUGUCCGCCUUGGCGCGCCCGUACUGGAACUUGACGGGCGGGUCCAGCCGCAGCGCCUCCCACACCGCCGACUUGGUCAGCUCCAUCUUCUCCAGCGCCUCCACCGUCACCUUGCCGCCGGCGUCCGCCACGGCGGCGCGAAUCUCCGCGACCAGCUUCUGGUGGAACUUCUCUCCGGCCCCCGCGAUGCGCGCGAGGAUCCCCGGGAGCAGCACCUUGAGGCCGCCGUAG
rnacentral:rRNA from 1 species